rnacentral:rRNA from 1 species
AACGGUGGUAAUGCCGGAUGCUCCGACUCCUCGCAUGGGGUGUCGGGAAAGAUUUCAUCGGUAUGGGAUGGGGUCGCGUCCUAUCAGGUAGUCGGCGGGGUAACGGCCCACCGAGCCUACGACGGGUAGCCGGCCUGAGAGGGCGACCGGCCACAUUGGGACUGAGAUACGGCCCAGACUCCUACGGGAGGCAGCAGUGGGGAAUAUUGCACAAUGGGCGCAAGCCUGAUGCAGCGACGCCGCGUGCGGGAUGACGGCCUUCGGGUUGUAAACCGCUUUUGAUCGGGAGCAAGCCUUCGGGUGAGUGUACCUUUCGAAUAAGCACCGGCUAACUACGUGCCAGCAGCCGCGGUAAUACGUAGGGUGCAAGCGUUAUCCGGAAUUAUUGGGCGUAAAGGGCUCGUAGGCGGUUCGUCGCGUCCGGUGUGAAAGUCCAUCGCUUAACGGUGGAUCUGCGCCGGGUACGGGCGGGCUGGAGUGCGGUAGGGGAGACUGGAAUUCCCGGUGUAACGGUGGAAUGUGUAGAUAUCGAAAAAAAAACACCAC